UACGUAGGGGGCAAGCGUUAUCCGGAUUUACUGGGUGUAAAGGGAGCGUAGACGGUGAAGCAAGUCUGAAGUGAAAGGCAGGGGCUUAACCCCUGAACUGCUUUGGAAACUGCCAUGCUAGAGUGCUGGAGAGGUAAGUGGAAUUCCUAGUGUAGCGGUGAAAUGCGUAGAUAUUAGGAGGAACACCAGUGGCGAAGGCGGCUUACUGGACUGUAACUGACACUGAGGCUCGAAAGUGUGGGUAUCAAACAGG
rnacentral:rRNA from 1 species